GUUUGAUCCUGGCUCAGGAUGAACGCUAGCGGCAGGCCUAACACAUGCAAGUCGAGGGGUAACAGGAGAGCUUGCUCUCGCUGACGACCGGCGCACGGGUGAGUAACGCGUAUGCAACCUACCUUUAACUGGGGGAUAGCCCGAAGAAAUUCGGAUUAAUACCCCAUACAACUAUAGAUAAGCAUUUAUUUAUAUUAAAAACUCCGGUGGUUAAAGAUGGGCAUGCGUAACAUUAGUUAGUUGGUGAGGUAACGGCUCACCAAGACUACGAUGUUUAGGGGGCCUGAGAGGGUGGUCCCCCACACUGGUACUGAGACACGGACCAGACUCCUACGGGAGGCAGCAGUGAGGAAUAUUGCGCAAUGGAGGCAACUCUGACGCAGCCAUGCCGCGUGCAGGAUGACGGCCCUACGGGUUGUAAACUGCUUUUAUACAGGAAGAACUUUCCGCACGUGUGCGGGAUUGACGGUACUGUACGAAUAAGCACCGGCUAACUCCGUGCCAGCAGCCGCGGUAAUACGGAGGGUGCAAGCGUUAUCCGGAUUUAUUGGGUUUAAAGGGUGCGUAGGCGGGAUAAUAAGUCAGUGGUGAAAUACUGCAGCUCAACUGUAGAACUGCCAUUGAUACUGUUAUUCUUGAGUUCGAUUGAGGUAGGCGGAAUGUGUAAUGUAGCGGUGAAAUGCUUAGAUAUUACACAGAACACCGAUUGCGUAGGCAGCUUACUAAGUCGACACUGACGCUGAGGCACGAAAGCGUGGGGAGCGAACAGGAUUAGAUACCCUGGUAGUCCACGCUGUAAACUAUGAUCACUAGCUGUUGGCGAUACAUCGAUCAGCGGCAAAGCGAAAGCAUUAAGUGAUCCACCUGGGGAGUACGGUCGCAAGAUUGAAACUCAAAGGAAUUGACGGGGGCCCGCACAAGCGGUGGAACAUGUGGUUUAAUUCGAUGAUACGCGAGGAACCUUACCUGGACUUAAAUGCAGAUUGACGUUUCGGGAAACCGGAAUUCUCUUCGGAGCGAUUUGCAAGGUGCUGCAUGGUUGUCGUCAGCUCGUGCCGUGAGGUGUCGGGUUAAGUCCCAUAACGAGCGCAACCCCUAUCGUUAGUUGCCAGCGGAUAAUGCCGGGGACUCUAACGAAACUGCCGGUGUAAACCGAGAGGAAGGUGGGGAUGACGUCAAAUCAGCACGGCCCUUAUGUCCAGGGCUACACACGUGUUACAAUGGUCGGUACAGAGGGCAGCUACCUGGUGACAGGAUGCUAAUCUCGAAAGCCGGUCUUAGUUCGGAUCGAAGUCUGCAACUCGACUUCGUGAAGCUGGAAUCGCUAGUAAUCGCGUAUCAGCAACGACGCGGUGAAUACGUUCCCGGGCCUUGUACACACCGCCCGUCACACCAUGGGAGUGGGUUGCAAAAGAAGUAGGUAGCUUAACCUUCGGGAGGGCGC
rnacentral:rRNA from 1 species